UACGAAGGGGGCUAGCGUUGCUCGGAAUCACUGGGCGUAAAGCGCACGUAGGCGGCUUUCUAAGUCAGGGGUGAAAUCCUGGAGCUCAACUCCAGAACUGCCUUUGAUACUGGAGAGCUUGAGUCCGGAAGAGGUGAGUGGAACUCCGAGUGUAGAGGUGAAAUUCGUAGAUAUUCGGAAGAACACCAGUGGCGAAGGCGGCUCACUGGUCCGGUACUGACGCUGAGGUGCGAAAGCGUGGGGAGCGAACCGG
rnacentral:rRNA from 1 species